UGUACGCAUGGCUGUAAGUCACUUUGGACAAAAGCGUCUGCUAAAUGACAUAUA
rfam:Salmo salar isolate Sally breed double haploid chromosome ssa10, whole genome shotgun sequence.